rnacentral:rRNA from 1 species
UACGGGGGGGAGCAAGCGUUGUUCGGAUUUACUGGGCGUAAAGGGCGCGUAGGCGGCUUAACAAGUCACUUGUGAAAUCUCCGGGCUUAACUCGGAACGGCCAAGUGAAACUGUCAAGCUAGAGUGCGGAAGGGGCAAUCGGAAUUCUUGGUGUAGCGGUGAAAUGCGUAGAUAUCAAGAGGAACACCUGAGGUGAAGACGGGUUGCUGGGCCGACACUGACGCUGAUGCGCGAAAGCCAGGGGAGCAAACGGG